rnacentral:rRNA from 1 species
AAUGAACGCUGGCGGCAGGCCUAAAACAUGCAAGUCGAACGCCCUAGCAAUAGGGAGUGGCGCACGGGUGAGUAACACGUGGGAAUAUGCCUUUAGGUACGGAACAACGUCUGGAAACGGACGCUAAUGCCGUAUGGUCCCUUCGGGGUAAAGAUUUAUCGCCAAAAGAUCAGCCCGCGUCUGAUUAGCCAGUUGGUGAGGUAAUGGCCCACCAAGGCGACGAUCAGUAGCUGGUCUGAGAGGACGAUCAGCCACACUGGGACUGAGACACGGCCCAGACUCCUACGGGAGGCAGCAGUUAGGAAUAUUGGACAAUGGACGCAAGUCUGAUCCAGCCAUGCCGCGUGAGUGAUGAAGGCCUUCGGGUUGUAAAGCUCUUUAGUCCACGAUUAUAAUGACUGUAGUGGAAGAAUAAGCCCCGGCUAACUUCGUGCCAGCAGCCGCAGUAAAAC